ensembl:ncRNA H32C10.95 ncRNA
AGAUGAAGAGAGCAUCGGAGCGGACGCGCAAGAGCAAAAGAGAGCUCAAAUCGCAUUUGUCGUCCCUAACUCGUUAGCACUGGACGGAGUAGAGGGAGAAGGAAACGGCAAAAACGACAACGGCACUUUUUU